GACGAACGCUGGCGGCGCGCCUAACACAUGCAAGUCGAACGAGCGAGAGAAAGCUUGCUUUCUCAAGCGAGUGGCGAACGGGUGAGUAACGCGUGAGGAACCUGCCUCAAAGAGGGGGACAACAGUUGGAAACGACUGCUAAUACCGCAUAAGCCCACGACCCGGCAUCGGGUAGAGGGAAAAGGAGCAAUCCGCUUUGAGAUGGCCUCGCGUCCGAUUAGCUAGUUGGUGAGGUAACGGCCCACCAAGGCGACGAUCGGUAGCCGGACUGAGAGGUUGAACGGCCACAUUGGGACUGAGACACGGCCCAGACUCCUACGGGAGGCAGCAGUGGGGAAUAUUCGCCAAUGGGGGAAACCCUGAUGCACCGACCCCGCGUGGAAGAAGAAGGUCUUCGGAUUGUUAAACUCCUGUUGUUGAGGAAGAUAAUGACGGUACUCAACAAGGAAGUGACGGCUAAACUACGUGCCAGCAGCCGCGGUAAAACGUAGGUCACAAGCGUUGUCCGGAAUUACUGGGUGUAAAGGGAGCGCAGGCGGGAAGACAAGUUGGAAGUGAAAUCCAUGGGCUCAACCCAUGAACUGCUUUCAAAACUGUUUUUCUUGAGUAGUGCAGAGGUAGGCGGAAUUCCCGGUGUAGCGGUGGAAUGCGUAGAUAUCGGGAGGAACACCAGUGGCGAAGGCGGCCUACUGGGCACCAACUGACGCUGAGGCUCGAAAGUGUGGGUAGCAAACAGGAUUAGAUACCCUGGUAGUCCACACUGUAAACGAUGAUUACUAGGUGUUGGAGGAUUGACCCCUUCAGUGCCGCAGUUAACACAAUAAGUAAUCCACCUGGGGAGUACGACCGCAAGGUUGAAACUCAAAGGAAUUGACGGGGGCCCGCACAAGCAGUGGAGUAUGUGGUUUAAUUCGACGCAACGCGAAGAACCUUACCAAGUCUUGACAUCCCUUGACGAUGCUGGAAACAGUAUUUCUCUUCGGAGCAAGGAGACAGGUGGUGCAUGGUUGUCGUCAGCUCGUGUCGUGAGAUGUUGGGUUAAGUCCCGCAACGAGCGCAACCCUUGUGGUCAGUUACUACGCAAGAGGACUCUGGCCAGACUGCCGUUGACAAAACGGAGGAAGGUGGGGAUGACGUCAAAUCAUCAUGCCCUUUAUGACUUGGGCUACACACGUACUACAAUGGCGUUAAACAAAGAGAAGCAAGACCGCGAGGUGGAGCAAAACUCAGAAACAACGUCCCAGUUCGGACUGCAGGCUGCAACUCGCCUGCACGAAGUCGGAAUUGCUAGUAAUCGCAGAUCAGCAUGCUGCGGUGAAUACGUUCCCGGGCCUUGCACA
rnacentral:rRNA from 1 species